AGACCCGAAACCCGGUGAUCUAGCCAUGGGCAGGUUGAAGGUUGGGUAACACUAACUGGAGGACCGAACCGACUAAUGUUGAAAAAUUAGCGGAUGACCUGUGGCUGGGGGUGAAAGGCCAAUCAAACCGGGAGAUAGCUGGUUCUCCCCGAAAGCUAUUUAGGUAGCGCCUCGUGAAUUCAUCUCCGGGGGUAGAGCACUGUUUCGGCUAGGGGGCCAUCCCGGCUUACCAACCCGAUGCAAACUGCGAAUACCGGAGAAUGUUAUCACGGGAGACACACGGCGGGUGCUAACGUCCGUCGUGAAGAGGGAAACAACCCAGACCGCCAGCUAAGGUCCCAAAGUCAUGGUUAAGUGGGAAACGAUGUGGGAAGGCCCAGACAGCCAGGAUGUUGGCUUAGAAGCAGCCAUCAUUUAAAGAAAGCGUAAUAGCUCACUGGUCGAGUCGGCCUGCGCGGAAGAUGUAACGGGGCUAAACCAUGCACCGAAGCUGCGGCAGCGAACGUAUCACCCAAGACAACUUUACGGAGUUGACGAUUGACGGAGCGAAGCGACGUCAAAGCGUUCAUUAAAGUCGAGUUGGCUUAGGGAUACGUUCGUUGGGUAGGGGAGCGUUCUGUAAGCCUGCGAAGGUGGCCUGU
rnacentral:rRNA from 1 species